rnacentral:lncRNA from 1 species
AGAGAAAUGAGCUCGUAUUUGCGCAAAAAAUUCCAAAAUGCUUUUGGUUCCGUGGAAUCAACACAGUCCCAGAAUGCCAAAGAUGAGUUUCCGUACGAUGCUGAAACCGAUGCCUCUGACAACAACUGCAAUAAGGAAACUGAAGAGAUUGAGCGUAGUAAAGUCGGAAUCAUGAGAGCCCUUGUCGAGAAAGAAGAUCCCUCCACUAAGGUCUGCUUCCCAAUUCUUUACUUAGGAAUGUUUAUUGAACAAUUACUCUUGGCAUCACAACAUUCUAGGGCAAGAAUUAUACGUACUUUACAUAGAAAUAAAGGGAACAGAUCACCUUGGACCUACAGUCUAGCACUACUUUCCCCUUGAAUACAAUUCCUAAUUUUAGUUAGUUGGUCUUUAAUACAAUUUGCCCAUUUCCUACAUUUGAUGUUUUUCAAGGAAUCAACUUGAAAUUAUUAACUUGCUAGUAAUAGCGGAGGAACCAGGAAUUCAUUUUUCCUCUACUUAGCUCCACCAUUGGCUACCGCACGCUGUAAAAGGAAGCAGCAUUUGCCUGAUGCUUAAUCCAAAAAAGAUUCAAUUGAUUAUCUCUUCAGAAAAUUUGGGAACUAAAAAUCUCAAGUUACUAGAAAUCUCUCUUUGAGAUAACAUCUAGCCCAGUCAAAUCAUACAUAUUUCCUACAUCAACCCUUCCUUUCUCGACUUUUCCUGCUUUAUAUGCUUGUGGAUUGGAAGGAGUAGGCUUCUUUUGCUACGAUACAAAAGAUGCUGCUGCUUAUACAUAUGAGGAUAGAACCUACUUUAAUCAGUCUGAAGUGAGUUGUCCAGCUUUUGGAUUCUACUGUUUUUCGCGAUAGUCUGAUACCGGCUUUAAACUAACCACUGAUGGACCUGUGCCUGUUUAUAACCUAUCUAACUUUGGUGUUUAAACUAACUAGUGAUGGAUUUGUUCCUGGUUACUGGUUCGACCCACUUAUAAAUUAAAUAAGUAACAAGCAGCCCUAUGGACGAAGCAUCUCGUGUUCACACAAGGUUUGGUGAAGGGUCGGACAGCCCUAUGCACGAAGCAUCUCGUGUUCACACAAGGUUUGGUGAAGGGUCGGACACAAAGGGGUUAGAUCCACUUAUGUGAUUAGCUAAUUUAGCUGAUUAGCACCAGUGCUGCAUACGUGACAUUUUAACUCACACCCAUUUAACCCUCUCCAUUUGACCUGGUUAAGAAAUUGGUUACUCACUCUCACAAAAGAGAGAAGAAAACUCGUGGCCUUCCUGAUUUUCCUCACCAUUUUGUUACUAUAGCACCACCAUUGAACAGUCGCAAAACCCGCAUUGUUUUUCAGCUUCGGUGAAAUCUCAUUCUUCCACCUUCAAAUUCCAUCCACAUUUUUUUUCACAAAACAAGCAUACAAAAAUCACAGUAAUUCUUCCUUUUUGGAAAUGGCGAUGAGUGUAAGGAAAGAUAAAUGGGCACAAGCCAAAUAAUGAAAAGAAGUUGUUAAGAAUUGAACUGAAAUAACCAAAAAGAAUUCACCUCUAUUUUGGGACUAGAGCAGGCACCCAAAGUGAAAAACAUAGAAGAAGCUCAACAAGCAACGUAAAUCAAUCACAAGCAGCUAAAUUUCUAAAAUUAAAAAAAAAAAACUAAAUUUCCAAACUUUCAACCCAAAUAGGAAGAACAAACACGACAAAAUUUCCAAAUUCAACUCUAGCACCAACAGGGAACUUUGUGGGAGAAGUGAGUUUCGUAAUAGAGAUUGGCGGUACAAAAUGAUUUAUGUAGGCUGUCCAUGGAUUUGCAUGAAAUGGGAUUACAUUCGAGUUGCAUUUUAUAACUGCCAUGAUUCGGGAUGAGAAAUGAAUAAGGUUAGAAAGAUAAGUUUGACACAUGGGGAGUUUUGGUGCUAAAUCAAAUUAUUAAUAAAUGGGUGAGAAUUUAAAAAGCCAAAUUAGCAGAAUUAGCUCCAAACAUAUGCCCGUUAGCAAAUAUGGUUAUUUUUAGCCCAAAAGUUUAACGGCAAGGGUAUAUCUUAACUAAACUUCUGACGGAGGGCAAAAUCUAAAUAUUUUUACAAGGUACAAGGGUCAAUUUGGACCUUUUCCCUUAACAUAACAUAUGAAACAGUCAAUAAGAAAUAAUACUAGUAUAACUAAUUCCAAUAUAAUUAAUCUUAGUAUAACUACUCCUAGCAUAACUAAUCUCAGCAUAAUUUGUCUUCAAACCAAACGACCACUAAAUGAUAAAAUACCAAACUCUAAACCAGCCACAUUGAAAAUUCGGGUGAUAGGAAGCCACUUUCUCAUGGACAUUGCUUUGCAUUCCUUUAAAGCUUCAGGGGAUUAAACUCUGUGGAAUAAACAAGCGUGUUCAAACUGUCCUUAUUUAAGCUCCGAGUUAAGUUGGAGGCAGGUAUCUCUAUCCAUUUUUUGAUUUUACAAGAACUAUUGGUAUUUGAUACAGCAGUGUUUGUUCAACUUGUGUGAUGAUAUUUGCUUUUGAUACGGUAGUGGAUACAGCCUCUCACGGAGAGACUUCUAUUUCUUAAGACGCGGAAAAGGAGAACUGAAAAAAAGAAGGUAAUUCCAGAAGGCGCAUCUAGCUUCAAGAAACUGCUUAUAGAAAGAUCUCACGUAGUGGUUUUCUUUCUAAAAUUUGCACUUUAACGCGAGCUGCUUAGUACCCUCUUAGCAGCAACCUGCAGUCUGCAUCAACUCCACCCGGCAAAGAUAUGCAGCAUGUCACAUCUGCGCUUAAUGUCCAGUUUGCACUGAUGAAUACCACCACACAUACCAGAGAGGCAGACUAACUAGAGCGCACCAAAGAAGACAUCUCCAGAAGAUAAAUUAAUACACCUCAUAAAUCACAAACAGGACUCGUGCCAAGAGAAUUUAUAUUAAAAAAUAGAAUACAAAUUGCCAGCAAAUCUGGAAAAUGCUUAGCAAGCAGCCAGCAAAAUUAUUCGCACAAAAAUCCAUGAUCUACCCAGAACUGGUGGGCAAUUACAAAUCCAAAAUCAUAGCUCACAAAGUAGAACAUAAGGAAUUAAAGAAAUGUGUAUAUGGUUUUCGUCAAGAUCAUAUUUUGGUUCCAGCAGCUACAAUUUCCCACAAGUACAGCCUUUUUACCUACUUAACCAAUAAGUAACUUGUUCUCUUCCAGGAAACUAUAAGUAGGCACCUCCAGAUUAUAUGGUGCAGGUCCCUUGCGGAUCCUACCAGAGAUGUCAUAAUGGGAGCCGUGGCAAGGGCAAAACCAACCACCAAAAUCACCGGCAUUUGGCAAAGGAAUGCACCCAAGAUGGGUGCAUAC